rnacentral:rRNA from 1 species
GGAGCACGCCGCGUGAGUGAUGAAGGUUUUCGGAUCGUAAAGCUCUGUUGUUAGGGAAGAACAAGUACCGUUCGAAUAGGGCGGUACCUUGACGGUACCUAACCAGAAAGCCACGGCUAACUACGUGCCAGCAGCCGCGGUAAUACGUAGGUGGCAAGCGUUGUCCGGAAUUAUUGGGCGUAAAGGGCUCGCAGGCGGUUUCUUAAGUCUGAUGUGAAAGCCCCCGGCUCAACCGGGGAGGGUCAUUGGAAACUGGGGAACUUGAGUGCAGAAGAGGAGAGUGGAAUUCCACGUGUAGCGGUGAAAUGCGUAGAGAUGUGGAGGAACACCAGUGGCGAAGGCGACUCUCUGGUCUGUAACUGACGCUGAGGAGCGAAAGCGUGGGGAGCGAACAGGAUUAGAUACCCUGGUAGUCCACGCCGUAAACGAUGAGUGCUAAGUGUUAGGGGGUUUCCGCCCCUUAGUGCUGCAGCUAACGCAUUAAGCACUCCGCCUGGGGAGUACGGUCGCAAGACUGAAACUCAAAGGAAAUUGACGGCA